GAAAUGAAUGCCUGAGGUGGAAUGAUCUUCUGGGGGAACUGAGCAAGAUGCAAUUUAAUGCCUCCCCUCUCAGAGUCAGAGAGCAUCCAGCCUGGGAGAGAGAAGCUGAUAGCCCACAACUGCCAUGUCCCCAAAGGGGUUGUACUUCAGGUUCUUGGGAACAUGACCCAUGAAGUCCAACAACAAAGGCAGUCAGGCUGGUGACUCAAACUGGAGACUUCCCUGUAAUCUCAACCUCACUGCUCCACUCCUCUGACUACCUCCAAGCCCUGCAGAGCAUUGCUCUCCCUCCUCAGUGGAAUUCUGUGAUCCCUGCUGAUGACCCGCUGCUCAUGAUCCAUAGUUGGCACCAGUUACAGAAGACUUCUGGAAGAGAGCACUGAAGUGUUUGGGUUUGGUGGGAUGGGGUGGCAGGGAGGGAAACAAAUUAGGAGCACGGGAGCUUGGCAUCUAACACAGAGGCCUGAGGGUGUCAGGUUUGGGUGAACAACUGCUCUAUCACAGUGUCUGUGUAACUGAAACUCUGUCCAAAGAACAGAAUUUGUUCAAGGUUUUUCUCUUCUUGCACUGCUUUUCCUAUUUCCCUCUUGUUUUCCCAGAAAUAGAACAUGACAUUUAUUUUUAUGGACAGCAUGAUCUUAUGGCUAUUCCCCUGUGAUGGAGUAAUCUGAACACAAUUAUGUUCUGUUGACAAAAAGUGAUAAAAGUGUAUUGUGUCAACACUCUGAACUAACAGAUUUGUCAUCUGCUCUACUCCCAGAUAAUAGAAACAGAAUUAGAAAAUGCUCUGACAGACUCUACCCUUUCCUAUGCUUAGGUCCCAGACUGCCUGGCACAGCACGGUGGUCACUAAAGCUCUGCAAGACAAAGCAAGACUGAUCUCACCAACUGCCUUGCAAUCGUUCUCCAUCACAGGAUUGGAACCAGUUUCUACUUUUCAACAACUAAAGGGCCUUUUUUUCCUGGUCCACACUGGAUUCCUGCCUGGGCUUCUGUUAAUGCCCAGCUAAACCCAACUAGGCAAAAUGCCUGGCUGCUCUAAAGGUGAAGUGAAAAUUGGCCCCUGAGAGAAGAAGGUUACAGGAGGACAUUAAAACAUUUGAUUUCCUACACCUACUCAGGUUUUACUUCAAGAGGUGCUUAGCUGAUUGUGAUUACAAGGUUAGUUUUUAUAAGGAUGGCUGCUUAAUUUUCUACAAUGCUUUGAUACUAUUUUUCUGCGGACUGGAGUUAUUUAUUAAUAUGGUAAAAUCCAGCAGUAACCUUACUGGGUUUUUUGGAGAAUUUCACAGUGUUUUUAGAUCACCUUAUCCCUUCCAGUUCUUCAGUGAAUUGUUCAAAUAAGGCCUUGGAGAACUGACAGUCCCAAAGACUUUGUAUGGGGCUGGAGGAGCAGGGACUGCUGGCAGUUAUCCAGCAUUUUAGAAAUC
rnacentral:lncRNA from 1 species